GGGAGUGUGGUCUAGUGGCAUGAUUGUCGAUUCGGAUAUUUAGACCGAACGUACACUGUUAAUUCGACAGGUCCCGGGUUCGAUUCCCGGUACUCCCC